UACGUAGGUCCCGAGCGUUGUCAGGAUUUAUUGGGCGUAAAGCGAGCGCAGGUGGUUUAAUAAGUCUGAUGUAAAAGGCCGUGGCUCAACCAUGGUUCGCUUUGGAAACUGGAUAACUUGAGUGCAGAAGGGGAGAGUGGAAUUCCAUGUGUAGCGGUGAAAUGCGUAGAUAUAUGGAGGAACACCGGUGGCGAAAGCGGCUCUCUGGUCUGUAACUGACGCUGAGGCUCGAAAGCGUGGGGAGCAAACAGG
rnacentral:rRNA from 1 species